rnacentral:rRNA from 1 species
AUACGGAGGGUCCAAGCGUUAUCCGGAAUCAUUGGGUUUAAAGGGUCCGCAGGCGGUCAAUUAAGUCAGAGGUGAAAGCCCAUCGCUCAACGAUGGAACUGCCUUUGAUACUGGUUGACUUGAGUUAUACGGAAGUAGAUAGAAUAAGUAGUGUAGCGGUGAAAUGCAUAGAGAUUACUUAGAAUACCGAUUGCGAAGGCAGUCUACUACGUAUAUACUGACGCUGAGGGACGAAAGCGUGGGGAGCGAACAGGAUUAGAAACCCUAGUAGUCC